AACAAGAAAUUCUAACAGUAGAUGAGAUCAGAGUUAACGCUGUACCCUAUGCGGGCCGUCGCUGUCGGGUUCGUGAAGAAGGCGGUGACAGAGAGCAGGGCGAGAGGGCGGCAGGUGUCGCGGCUGGAGGAGUCCAUCAAGAGUUUGGAGGAGGAGAAGCGCAAGAUCGAAGUUUUCAAGCGCGAGCUCCCUCUCUGCAUGCGUCUCGUCUACGAGGUGAUGGGGGAGUUGAAGAGGGAGAUCGAUCGGUUCCGCGCCGAGGGUUUCGGGCGUGUGUUCCAGGAAUUCACGCCGAUUAAGGGCAAAAUCAACGAGAGCAGCUCGGAUUUCAGAGAUAAGAAGAACUGGACGAGCUCGUUCCAACUCUGGAUCUGUGAGGAAAGUAAAGAUACCAAAAACAUGACAAGAUGAACCUUAAAGAGAAAUCAGUAUGUUAUUCUCGGAACGGCGGACAUGUGUCCCUGCCAGUAUUGGAACUAUACAGCUCCAAGGCGGAAGAUGAGACUGCCGCUGUGUUGUCUGACCUCUCUCUGUGCUCUACCGUGAUCACUCAUGGCUUUGUGACUCCGGCCAUCAAUAACCAUCCAGUUAGUUGCCAUAAGUGUACUUAAGAAUCCCCGGAAGCAUCUCAGGUGGUGGCGCCUGGCAAACACUGUGGCUUGCAUUAGCAACAGGCUGCAGAUGUGGAGGUUCUGGUCUCAGGAUCUGCAUCAGCGGUUUGUGCUCGCGAUUGCUCCGUGUUGCUCAUGGUAAGACCUCAGUUGAAUCAAUUGCUAGGAGGCUGAUGGAUAAUUUCUGCAGGAUGAUGUUUAGUCCCACAUCUAAAAUUUUCACAAUCCUCUAUUAGUAUAAAAUAUAACUAUACGACUUAUAAAAUAUAACCCAUGGAAUGAAGUGAUAGGAUCUUCAGGUCCAGGAAAAUCCCCGGGUCAUCCACCGCAGUGAUGCGGCCGUGUAAUUAUGGUCCAUUAAAUCAGAUUGUAUUCCAUCCCUGGGAAGGCUGAGACAUGUGUGGAGCCUUUCGAUCAGAUUAUGGAUUCAUGAUCAUUCCCUAUAGUAAUUCACUUGGCCUUACAAAUAGGUUAACAGAACGGGGUUUAUAUUCCAUGGGUAUUUUUUAAAAAUAUAUUACUCAAUUUUUGGUGUGGAUGUCUUGAAAUUACAAUUAAUUUUUUUAAUGAUAAAUUAAUCAAAUGAAUAUAUCAUAAUUCAAAUACUAAUUGUGUGAUAACAAAUAAGUUUUUUUUUUACUCAAAGACGUAAUUAGCUAUAUACGAAGGAGAUGGGAAGUUCUUAUUAUUGCUGAGUAGAGUUGUUAGGUAGGUCAGGAUGGUCCAUUAAAAAUUCAUCAUCUUUGUAGGGUGGUCUCAAUCGACCCAUCAGGUGAGUUAGAAAAUCUUUAAUUAAGACCAACUCAAAAUAGAUGCAAUUUGGUUCAAUUGUUCGAGUUUAUAGUGAAUCGUCUAACGAAAAUGAUCAACGAUCGCGAACCUAUUCUACUAACAAAUAAGCUUUUUUUUUAACUCAAAGACGUAAUUAGCUAUAUACGAAGGAGAUGGGAAGUUCUUAUUAUUGCUGAGUAGAGUUGUUAGGUAGGUCAGGAUGGUCCAUUAAAAACUCAUCAUCUUGUAGGAUGGUCUGAAUCGACCCAUUAGGUGAGUUAAAAAAUCUCUAAUUGAGAUCAAAUCAAAAUAGAUGCAAUUUGGUUCAAUUGUUCGAGUUUAUAGUGAAUUGUCUAAUGAAAAUGAUCAACGAUCGCAAACCUUGAAAUAGAAGUCGUCAGAAACUCCGAACCAAGUAAAAUCAACUUGUGUCAAGUUUUAUUUUAUUUCGUUGCAUUUAUUAUUAUUUGUUUUUCUCUCCGAGUUCUUGUGAAAAACGUGAAAAAAAAUCACGAGCAGUAUUCACCCGCUCCCCCUCCUCUAGCGCUUUCAAUCCUACACAUUGAUUAAUUCUAUUACACACAUCCUAACAAAUAAACUAAUCAUUAGAUUAAACAUGAACUAAUCAUUUUCAAAUUUGUUAACACAUAACAUAAUUUUUUAUAAAAUAAUUCUGUUCAUAUAUAACAACGGAAAAAUUAUUACAUAACUCAUAAACUAAAUGAGCUUAUUACUAUUCAUACAUAAUGACAAUAACAAUAGAAGUCUAAUAAAAUAAAUAAGUUAACACCACUCUCACUAGGACAAACAAUAGUGUGGUGGUCAACACUAUCCCUUUUAACCUAGAUUCGUUUGGGGCAAUCUCAGGUAGACAACUUUAGAAUUCUCCAUUUAAUUUGGUCCACAUUCGGAUCCUCUUAUGGAUUCUCUUCAAACUUUUCGGGAUCAUCUUGAUCCAUAUGGUGAAGUAGCUUUAUACACAAUUGUGCAUAUGGGAUAUGCCCUUACCCUCAUAAUUAGUGUGCUACUAUAUUGAGUUGUAUUGGUAGAAAUUGGAGCAAAACCAAGUUAUUCAAGAUUGGAAACUCUUUUCAUUCGAGUUUCUAGAAUAAUCGAUCAAGUUGGCCAAUAUGUCCUUGGAGUCCAUGAACUGGGUCAAACUCCAUCUCCUCAAUCUGCUCCCUUAGCUCAUUCGUUGUAUGUCACGAUGGGUCAUUGUGUAUAUCAUUGUCGACAUCUAGAAUUGAAAAUAAUAAUAGCAGUACAAAAUCAACAAACCAGUAACACAACUAGUUCAAUUCAAUUUACACAUAUACAUAGAACAAAUAUACAGAAUUUAUAAACAAAUAAGAAAAACUAAUUUCCUUUAUUUGAGGAGUUCUAGUGGACUAACACACUGGACCGGUCGAUUGAGAAGAUGAAACCUGAACUUGGUCAAUUGUCCUAUUAGAACUAAUCUAAUUAGAUAGGGAUGCCUUAUCUAUAUUGUUUUUAUUUAACCUAAAUUCAUUUAAGUUAAUUUCAGACUUAUUUAAUAAAUCUGACCCAAUUUUGAUUAAAUCAGUCCUAAUAGAAUAAAUUUAGCCUAUUUAAUUAAAUAUGGAAAGAUCCAUCUUAAUAAAUUAAACUAGUCAAAUUUAUGAUUAGCCCAUACUCAUUUAAUCAAAUCAACUUAAAAUGAUUUUGAUUUAGAUCAAAUUGAUUAGGUUAAACCAAUUAAUAGUUUGAACCAUAUGAGAAUCUAAUUAAAUGAAACUUAUCUUUUUAAACUAACCUGGUGGUUCAAUGAACCAGUCCAGUUUAAAUCAACCCAAGUUGAGUAAACUCAACCCAAUUAAUUUCCAGCAUGGAGUCAUUAAUUGUAACACCCACGAAAUUAUAAGAUAGGCAUAUGGAUAUUAUUUUUCUUUUGAGUAUAGAAAAUAAAAAGGAUAAGAGAAAAAGGGAAAAUAGA